rnacentral:rRNA from 1 species
GAUGAGCAUGCGUCCCAUUAGCUAGUUGGUAAGGUAACGGCUUACCAAGGCUACGAUGGGUAGGGGUCCUGAGAGGGAGAUCCCCCACACUGGUACUGAGACACGGACCAGACUCCUACGGGAGGCAGCAGUGAGGAAUAUUGGACAAUGGGCGCAAGCCUGAUCCAGCCAUGCCGCGUGCAGGAUGACGGUCCUAUGGAUUGUAAACUGCUUUUAUACGAGAAGAAACACUCCUUCGUGAAGGAGCUUGACGGUAUCGUAAGAAUAAGGAUCGGCUAACUCCGUGCCAGCAGCCGCGGUAAUACGGAGGAUCCAAGCGUUAUCCGGAAUCAUUGGGUUUAAAGGGUCCGUAGGCGGUUUAAUAAGUCAGUGGUGAAAGCCCAUCGCUCAACGGUGGAACGGCCAUUGAUACUGUUAGACUUGAAUUAUUAGGAAGUAACUAGAAUAUGUAGUGUAGCGGUGAAAUGCUUAGAGAUUACAUGGAAUACCAAUUGCGAAGGCAGGUUACUACUAAUUGAUUGACGCUG